GAUUCCCCUAGUAACGGCGAGUGAAGCGGGAAAAGCUCAAAUUUGAAAUCUGGCGGUCUACGGCCGUCCGAGUUGUAGUCUAGAGAGGUGUCUUCUGCGUCGGACCAUGCACAAGUCCCUUGGAACAGGGCGUCAUAGAGGGUGAGAAUCCCGUCCGUGGCAUGGACUCCCGGUGCUUUGUGAUGCGCCUUCGAAGAGUCGAGUUGUUUGGGAAUGCAGCUCAAAAUGGGUGGUAAAUUCCAUCUAAGGCUAAAUACAGGCGAGAGACCGAUAGCGAACAAGUACCGUGAGGGAAAGAUGAAAAGCACUUUGGAAAGAGAGUUAAACAGUACGUGAAAUUGUUGAAAGGGAAACGCUUGGAGUCAGUCGCGUUUGCCGGGACUCAGCCUUGCUUCUGCUUGGUGCACUUCCUGGUACACGGGCCAGCAUCGAUUUUGAUCGCCGGAAAAAGGCUUGGGGAAGGUGGCACCUUCGGGUGUGUUAUAGCCCCUUGUUGUAUACGGUGGUUGGGAUUGAGGACCGCAGCACGCCUUUUGGUCGGGGUUCGCCCACGCCACGUGCUUAGGAUGCUGGCGUAAUGGCUUUAAACGACCCGUCUUGAAACACGGACCAAGGAGUCUAACAUGCCUGCGAGUGUUUGGGUGUAAAACCCAGGCGCGUAAUGAAAGUGAAAGGUUGGGACUCUUCGCUGAGGCACCGACGCCCGAUCCUGACGUUCUCUGACGGAUUUGAGGUAGAGCAUGUAUGUUGGGACCCGAAAGAUGGUGAACUAUGCCUGAAUAGGGCGAAGCCAGAGGAAACUCUGGUGGAGGCUCGUAGCGAUUCUGACGUGCAAAUCGAUCGUCAAAUUUGGGUAUAGGGGCGAAAGACUAAUCGAACCAUCUAGUA
rnacentral:rRNA from 1 species